UUUCAGUUCAGUUACGUUCGUAAGGACAUUCUCCCCCCACUGGAUGAUGCAGCUUCUGAGAACAAGACCCUGUACUCGAGACUGACACGGGAAAAGGACCCUAGUUUUUCAGGGUUAUUUUUUGCUACACAGCACUGCAUGUCUGGGUGCAUCACUGUAGACUCGUCACUGUUCCCAUGAUGGACGUUAUCUAAGUGGGUUCUCCAUUUUCUUGUUAGACCGUCCACUUUGAUGCAGUCUUGAUGCCCAGCUCUGACGACCUGUACAGCUCUGCUCGGCCCAUCCGGCUCUGUGCUGUCCACGCAGGCAUGCGGAUUUCACAGUCCCGGACGGAGUCUUUCAUUUCCCCAUCUCCCACUCGUUUACCAACUUGAAGGGGGAAAUGCUAAGCAAGGGAGGGAAGGUGGCAGAGAGCCUUGCCUGUCCCGCUCUGCCCAAGGCUCCCGCCAGCUGGAUUAAAGUGUCCCGUCUCUGACCAGCAGGGGGCGCCAAGAGCCUGUCGUGCAUGGCGAGAGCCAGCCGCGGCCUCCAAGGACCUCGCUCCCGCGCGGCCCCUAAAAUGAUGGCAUCGGACUCAGUCCCAGCGCCCCGGUCAUUUCAUAGAUGUGGGUGGAAGAGCUGGAGCAGAAUUUGAAUUCAAAGCCGUGUGACUGUGGGGCCCCUGGCCUGUGCACAGUGUCUGUUCCAUUGGUGCAGGACGAAGGACUGGCAGCUCCGGAACAAGAUGAGGCGGAGUAAGAAGCCAGUGCUGGACAUUUGAGCUGCUUUAGUGUCCAGGUACCAAGAGCACUGGCAGUCAAAUACAACGGUUAAUGAAAUGUGGGUGGGCAUCUAAGUUCUCUUUCUAGGCGCCAGGUGGCUCAAGCUCCUGGGCCCACCUACUGGGAGGAAGCUUCCAAGGGAAGUAGUGCUGCAGGUGACUCCUACUCUCUCCCUACUUCCCCUCCCCUCCCCUCCCCUCUCAAAUUCUCUGUCUCUGUCCAAUAAAUAAUAAAAAAAAUUAUUAAAGGGGUUGGGCUGGGCAUGCACAAGGAUCUGGGUUCAAGUCCCCUGUCCCCACCUGCAGGAAGCUUAGUAAGUUUUAAAACAGUACUGCAGAUGUCUCUCUUUAUCCCUCCCUGUUUCCCUCUUCCCCUCAGUAUCUGUCUUUAU